GAGGGUAUAGCUCAGUGGCAGAGUGCAUGUUAGCAUGCAUGAGGCCCUGAGUUCAAUCCCCAGUACUUCA
rnacentral:tRNA from 1 species